rnacentral:rRNA from 1 species
ACAAGCAGCGGAGCGUGUGGUUUAAUUCGAUGUUACACGAAGAACCUUACCAGGGUUUGACAUGCAAGUGGUAGGAAGCCGAAAGGUGACCGACCUUCGGGGAGCUUGCACAGGUGCUGCAUGGCUGUCGUCAGCUCGUGUCGUGAGAUGUUCGGUUAAGUCCGCUAACGAGCGCAACCCCUACGUUUAGUUGCUAACAGGUGAAGCUGAGCACUCUAGACGAACUGCCGUUGACAAAACGGAGGAAGGUGGGGAUGACGUCAAAUCAUCAUGCCCCUUAUGUUCUGGGCUACACACGUGCUACAAUGGCCGGUACAGACGGAGGCGAAGCCGCGAGGCGGAGCAAAUCCGAAAAAGCCGGUCUCAGUUCGGAUUGCAGGCUGCAAUUCGCCUGCAUGAAGUCGGAAUCGCUAGUAAUCGCAGGUCAGCAUACUGCGGUGAAUACGUUCCCGGGCCUU